UAAUUACUAGUAAAUAUGCCCGUGCGUUGCCACGGGUUUUUUCCGAUUAUUUGUUGUGUAAACAUUAUAUGAACUUGAUAUUAAGCUGAUGACACAUGAACUUCAAAUAUUUCUAAUACAUUUAAUGAUGUCUAGGACUCCAGACCAUUAAUGAUGGCCUCUUGUAAUUGUGGACGCUCCCCGUCGUCAUCACCAUUUCUCAUUUUAGAUGUCCCUUCUUUUGAUGAAACAACAACAUUUCCUAUUUUUCUUGUGAAUUCAUCGUUGCGGCGGUGUAGCAAUGUUUGUCUUUCUCCGGGCGUCACAUACUUCCUUUGAUUUAAAUGAAAGGUUGAUGUUCUAACUUCCAGGUCUGGUUCUGUAUAUGCAGGGUUCUCCAAGGCGAUUGAAUAUUUGGUUUGUGCUCUACGCUUCAACUCUUUGUUUUCUGUAAUUUUCUGAAUUUUAACUUCCUUUUAUUCUGGUUGCAUAUUUGCAUACUCUUAACGGUUCCUUUUGACUCUUUUCUUCUUUUCUUUGCUCAUAUGUGCAUAUCGCGCUCUAUCUCUUUUUCUUUUCUUUUCCUUGGCAUCCAUUAUUGUAUCUUCUGACCCUAAUGGAUUGUUUUCAUCAUUGUUUUUUGAUUUGUUUGGAUCUAUAGAGCAAAAGAAUGUAUAGUAAGUAUAGUGUGAUAUUUUGUAUUAAUGUAAUAGAGAAAAUAAAAAAAUUAAUUAAUUUUACCUAGAGGCAAUUCUUUUUUUAUGUUUUCAAGUUCCUCUAUGCCAUCUCCAGCAUGUACAUAUUGAUGAGCAUCAAUCCUGGCAUCUUCAUGAUGUACAAUAUCACCUUCUGUUUGCCGGGGUAGCUCAGUGAUGGUAGGCUUCAUGAAGCCUUUUAAGCUUUUCCUGCUUUUUUCAUUUGUCAUCUUAGCAUACCAUUCUUCACGGUUCCUUUUGACUAUUUCCUUCUUUUUUCAUUGCUCAUAUGUGAAUAUCGCUCUCUAUCACUUUUCCAUUUCUUUUCCUUGGCAUCCAUUACUGUAUGUUCUGACUCUAACAUAUUGUUUCCAUCAUUGUUUUUUGAUUUGUUUGGAUCUAUAGAACAAAAGAAUGUACAGUAAGUAUAGUGUGAUAUUUUGCAUUAAUGUAAUAGAGAAAAUAAAAAACAAUAUUUAAUUAAUUUUACUUAGAGGCAAUUCUUUUUUAUGUUUUUGAUAUUUUCCAUGAAUGCAAUAGAGAAAAAAUUAAACCAAUGUAUUGAAGUAAAUUUACCUCAAUGCAAUUCUGAAUACAAUAGAGAAAACAUUAAAGCAAUAUAUUGAAGUAAAUUUACCUCGAUGCAAUUCUAUUUUUAGGUUUUCAGUUGACUCUAUGCCACCUUGAGGAUGGAUAUCUUGACGUUCAGUGUGUACGUCUUGACAGACAUCAAUGUAUAGAGAUCUAGGUGCAUGCUGGGGACGAGGCGACAUCACUAGUAUAGGGAAGGGCUUUAGCCCCGGGCCGUAAGCGCCUUUAGUCACGGCUACGGAACCGGGGCUAAGGUUUCGGGACUAAAUGUCCCACCUUUAGUCUCGGUUCCGUGGACCGGGACUAAAGGUCCACCGGGACUAAAGGUCCACCUUUAGUCCCGGUUGGUAACAACAACUGAGACUAAAAGGUGCGCCAGGGUGUGCCACCUGGCCUCCACUUUUAGUCCCGGUUGUUGCUACCAACCGGGACUAAAGACUUUUUUCUUUUUUUUUUCUUUUCAUUUAGUUUUCCAUUUAGGGUUUACAAUUAUGUUAUUGUUAUUUUUGAAUGCGUAUUGUUUGCUGGUAGUUUAUGGAACGUGCACCUAUAAUUUAUAUAAUUUAAAGGAUUACAUAUAAAUAUACUAUAAAACACUAUAUAUAUAUAUAAUAUGUAUCUAUAGGUCCAUAAUAUAAUAUUUACACAUAUGCUUCACGGACAAAGUAUUUACAACACAAUUUAUCUCCGCCACUCAAGCAUCGUACAAAUGAUCAUCGUUAUUUGGUUUCAUCUGCUCCUGAGGGUUGAAGUAGCACUCGCCGUCGGGAUCCAGGACUUGGUCGUUAAGAAAUCCUACGAUUGUCUCCUGAAUUCCUUUUAGGCGCACCGCAUCCAACACCUGCUCCUUCAGCCACAUCUCCUUUGAUAGACAUUAAAGAAAAAAGUUAGAGGUAUGAAUAGGAUUUAUUAAAUAGCAACAAAUAAAUGAAAUAAACUUAUUAUAUAUACAUGUUACAUAUUUUUAGGUACUCAAGAUUAGUUCUUUUGGCAUACAGCAUCAUAAACUCGCACACAUAGUAGCCACACAAAUUGUUGUCCGGUGUCUGCCAUAGAACCCAUGAAGUAAGAUGGGCUUUGAAAGUGCUGCAUUCAACUCUGGACGAUGUUUCUGCACGAACCCAGCCCAAACCCUAGCAAUAAAAUGAUCAUUAUUAAUUAUCCAUUACCAAGUUAAAAGAGCAGAAUUUAGUAUAUAGAGAUCGGAGUUACCCUUGGAUAAUAUCUAUCAUUUCUUGAUAAUCGUCCCGUGGUUUUCUCAAUGAGUCAUAGAUUACCAAUUGACAUUGCCAGAGAUCAAUGACAAUUAGUAUCCAAUGAAAGUUACAUUUGUGUGCAUAUGUUGGCAAAAUUAGUAUAUAUCUUCAUAUUGAUCUGAUUAAUUAGUUAAAUAGAAUGUACACACGAUAACGACACUUACUUAAAGUUGUAGGGAAAGAGUAUAUAUCUUUUAUCUUUUUGGUUGAUCAAGAACCUCCGUAGAUUUCUCUCCGUUUGAGUUCUCCAUAAGACAUACGGGGUCUUAUGGUCUUUGAAUACAACAUUUGGAUCCACAAAUCCAAUCUCCUUGUCAUUUCUAACUCUGUGGUCCCUCAUCAUGUUUCUGCAUAUGUAUAGCAGGUUUCUGUAAUUAGUUAUAUAUAUACAUGAUAAGUUAUAGAGACAUUAUUGAAAGGAAGAAUCACUUACAGACAGAAGCAACUCAUUAGAGAUUUGUCAAGAGCGUCCAUGUGGCAUAGUUGGUGUAGCUCAUGAAAUUGAACAUAAAUAAUAUCAUCACCACGGCAGUAAUGAUAGUUUCUAAUUCGGACAUAAAUACAGUCA
rnacentral:lncRNA from 1 species